AGCGAACGCUGGCGGCAGGCCUAACACAUGCAAGUCGAACGAACCUUUCGGGGUUAGUGGCGGACGGGUGAGUAACACGUGGGAACGUGCCUUUAGGUUCGGAAUAACUCAGGGAAACUUGUGCUAAUACCGAAUGUGCCCUUCGGGGGAAAGAUUUAUCGCCUUUAGAGCGGCCCGCGUCUGAUUAGCUAGUUGGUUGAGGUAAUGGCUCACCAAGGCGACGAUCUGUAGCUGGUCUGAGAGGAUGAUCAGCCACAUUGGGACUGAGACACGGCCCAAACUCCUACGGGAGGCAGCAGUGGGGAAUCUUGCGCAAUGGGCGAAAGCCUGACGCAGCCAUGCCGCGUGAAUGAUGAAGGUCUUAGGAUUGUAAAAUUCUUUCACCGGGGACGAUAAUGACGGUACCCGGAGAAGAAGCCCCGGCUAACUUCGUG
rnacentral:rRNA from 1 species